UAAUUGCAAAAGACCUAAGCCCUUUCACCCAGAGGUUCAACCCCUCUUCUUAACU
rnacentral:tRNA from 1 species